rnacentral:rRNA from 1 species
UCAGCCUAUCCUGCAAGUCGAGCGAACAGAUAAGGAGCUUGCUCCUUUGAAGUUAGCGGCGGACGGGUGAGUAACACGUGGGUAACCUACCUAUAAGACUGGGAUAACUUCGGGAAACCGGAGCUAAUACCGGAUAACAUUUAGAACCGCAUGGUUCUAAAGUGAAAGAUGGUUUUGCUAUCACUUAUAGAUGGACCCGCGCCGUAUUAGCUAGUUGGUAAGGUAACGGCUUACCAAGGCGACGAUACGUAGCCGACCUGAGAGGGUGAUCGGCCACACUGGAACUGAGACACGGUCCAGACUCCUACGGGAGGCAGCAGUAGGGAAUCUUCCGCAAUGGGCGAAAGCCUGACGGAGCAACGCCGCGUGAGUGAUGAAGGGUUUCGGCUCGUAAAACUCUGUUAUUAGGGAAGAACAAAUGUGUAAGUAACUGUGCACAUCUUGACGGUACCUAAUCAGAAAGCCACGGCUAACUACGUGCCAGCAGCCGCGGUAAUACGUAGGUGGCAAGCGUUAUCCGGAAUUAUUGGGCGUAAAGCGCGCGUAGGCGGUUUCUUAAGUCUGAUGUGAAAGCCCACGGCUCAACCGUGGAGGGUCAUUGGAAACUGGGAAACUUGAGUGCAGAAGAGGAAAGUGGAAUUCCAUGUGUAGCGGUGAAAUGCGCAGAGAUAUGGAGGAACACCAGUGGCGAAGGCGACUUUCUGGUCUGUAACUGACGCUGAUGUGCGAAAGCGUGGGGAUCAAACAGGAUUAGAUACCCUGGUAGUCCACGCCGUAAACGAUGAGUGCUAAGUGUUAGGGGGUUUCCGCCCCUUAGUGCUGCAGCUAACGCAUUAAGCACUCCGCCUGGGGAGUACGACCGCAAGGUUGAAACUCAAAGGAAUUGACGGGGACCCGCACAAGCGGUGGAGCAUGUGGUUUUAAUUCGAAGCAACGCGAAGAAACCUUACCAAAUCUUGACAUCCUUUGAAAACUCUAGAGAUAGAGCUUCCCCUUCGGGGGGACAAAGUGACAGGUGAUGCAUGGUUGUCGUCAGCUCGUGUCGUGAGAUGUUGGGAUUAAGUUCCUGCAACGGAGCGCAACCCUUAAACCUUUAGUUGCCAUCAUUAACUCGGUCACUCUAGUUUGAACUGCGGAUGAACAACCCGGAGGAAGGGGGGGAGGGGAAGGGACACGGGUUCCA